UUGUGUUUUUCAACGUAACAUAACAGAUCGGAGUGAUAUGCACUGGCACAAACACAGAUACACAGUCAAAAGCCUAGCCGUUCGGACUCCUCUCUCAGGCCGUGUUGCCUAGGAGCUAUGCAUCUUACUUUCGCCAGCUGUGCCUGCAGCAUAUCUUUGCUUAGCUGUGCGAAUCUUCUCCCUCAUCCCGUGUUCCGUCUUACCAGCUGCGCCUGCACCCUUAGCCGUGCGAAUCUCUGGACCUAUUCUGCGAAAGGAGAAGAGCCCCAUCAAGCACAACCGAUGGUCUUCUGCCCUCUGGAAGAACAGUCGCUUCGCGUGGGUUUCCAUGGUCGAGAUUUUUCUGCCCUCUGCAACAACAGUAGCUUCACACGGGUAAUUUUUGGAGAUUUUCCCAAUCUCCCGCCCAGUCCGUUUGUCUGUUGCAGACCAAAUUCGCCUAUAUAUUCAACAUGGCGAAACCCAGGAAACCUAUGAAAACCACCCCUAUUGGCAUCUGCAACCCUCGAGCCUCUGUCCCCAACUCUGCCCAUAAACGGCGUAUCACCCAUUCCACGAUCCACCACGGGUCCGAAAACGCGGUCCAUGGAGUUCGCAUUGGGGAACUUUCAAGAUGAACAAAGAGUAGACUCGGGUUGAGUUCGUGAAUUAUUCGAUGUCAAAGUCAACUGAGAAUUCUAGUAUGUGUGUAAAUAGAGAGUAUUCAAUCAUUUUUGUGGAAGGGGUCGGGGUAGCAUCUCAGGUAGCCCUCUACCUUGGGAUAUUUGCUUGUGAAGUUCGCCUCCCGUUCUGUCGCCUUGUUCGGAAGGUCCUCCACUAUUUGGAGUUGGCUCUGCCCAGCCCAUCCCAAUGAUUGGAGGAUGUUGAUGUUCAGUUACAUUAUUGUUAGGAAGGCCCAACGGGACCCUGGCCUAGAACCCGCAUAGAUUACCCAGAUGAUGAUUGAUCCGGUAUAUAUACAUGAACUCCCGAGCCGUCAGAUUGGGAUACACCUUCCCCGUCAAAGAGAUGGCCUUCCUGGCGAUAAUGUAGUUGGACAUCAACAACCUCCAACCGUUGGGAAUGAGCUGGGCGAGAGCCAAUCUUGGAUAGUGCAAAAUGGGAGACGAACUUCACAAGCGAAGAUAGAGGGCCACUAGAGAUACUAUUCCUGAAUAGGACACGACCUGUUCCAGUGAUUGAGGAAUUUCCAGAAUAACUGACUGGAGAUGCUAAAUUGCAUUCGGUAAGCAUGAAGUUCUUUGUUGAUUACCAUCGAAAUUCAACUUCGACUGUCAUAGGAAGGGCUAAAGAUAUUAGUGGAGGUCUGCGAGGCCAUGAAGAAGAAGAAAAUGAGGGGGUAGAUGACUUGGUCCCAAAUGUGUUAUUCUAAGUGUAGAAGUGUUGUAUGAAAGAUAAGUCCAUGAUUGUAUUCCAUAGUAACAAGAUUAUCAAAGCAUUUAUGAAAUUUUGUUGUAAAAAAAUGUAUUGACUAUGAGAAAUGAAAAAUAAAAUGAAAUGCAAUGUGAAUAAUCUUUUUAUGCU